GGCAUUUUUUGGUCUAAAAGAGGUCUAAUAGAUGUUUAAAUGUAGCCUAGAUGACUGGUCUAAAAUCAGGCUACCACAGGUCUAAAAAUUAAAGUUAUUAAGACAUCUAGAUUUAGACCAAGUUUAGACUAAAUCUAAAUCUGGGCAAUAUCUAUACUACAUUAUAUAUUUCUCAACAGCUAUCGUGAUUAUUUUGGUUAAGUACUCGGUGAUCAGAUAUGCCACUCACAGUUGUAUUUUGAAAUAAAUAGUAAUCAAAUAAUGGGUUAAAGUGCAACGUCUAAGUUAAAUAAAAAUAUAGAAUCUAGACGGUUGAAAAUAAGUCUUAAAAAAAUAGACUGUCUAUUGCACAGUGGGUUAGUAUGUUAUUUUAAUAGACUAUUUCAGAACAUACAGCCACAAUCACAGGGAAGAUUACUGACUUGACAGACACAACAUCAGAGGCACAGGCUGAGGAGGUCCAAGGUCACUUUUCUGGCUUAAGCAAGAAUAAGGCUUAAGGAAGAAUAUUCAAAGUCCGAUGAGAAGUUCCUGCAGUCUGUGGUGAUUUGGGGUGGCUAAUCAUGUCCUGUUGUUGGUUCACUGUGUUUUGUCAAGCCCGAAGUCAAUGUAGCUACCUCCUAAGCACUUACAGUAGAUAGAUCUUUAUGCUCCAUCUGCUGACAGUCUUUAUAGCAAUGCCAGAUUUCCUUUACAGCAGGACCUAGCACCUGCCCACAGUGCCAAAACUCCUGCCAAAUGGUUUGCUGACAAUGAUAGGAUAAUUUGCUUGAUUGGCUGAUUGAUUUUAACCCCAUAAAGAGUCUGUGGAGUACUGACAAGAAGAAGAGGAAGAUGAGAAACAUCCAAGCCAAAGGUCACUCUAGAGGCAACCAAGAUAUCAGGGUUUGGACUCACGAUGUUUAUUUUUGUUCUUCCUCUCAGUUUCGUGUUUGUUCGUCGUUAGUUAGGGUUGGUUAUGCUGGCUUUGUGGUGUUGAUGUUUUUCUUGUUCUGUUUGUUUCAGAGGUUGGAGGUGUGGUUUGCCUGGUCUGAGGCUUUCAACAGGCACAGCUGCAGCCCAUCAAGUCCCAGUCAGCAGCAGCUCAGUCAGUACACCUCCCUGGUUAACAGCAAGCUGCCAGAAUGUCCCUGCUUCCCCUGCAGUAGCUUGGCUCUUUAAACGCCUGUCUUGUGAGUUAUUGAAUGAUUACUAGUUAUUUCACCUGUGGACUUGCUCUGUGCUCUUGUCCUUUUCCCCAGUACCUCUGACUGCCAUCCCCAGCCUCAAAUCCUUGAAGUCAAUCAGUCAAGUCACAUUGAGUUGCCUCCAUGCCACCCCACACUGAUGUAGUAAUUUAUGAUAAAGGAGCCUAAACCAAG